UGAGUAAUGCUUAGGAAUCUGCCUAUUAGUGGGGGACAACAUUCCGAAAGGAAUGCUAAUACCGCAUACGCCCUACGGGGGAAAGCAGGGGAUCUUCGGACCUUGCGCUAAUAGAUGAGCCUAAGUCAGAUUAGCUAGUUGGUGGGGUAAAGGCCUACCAAGGCGACGAUCUGUAGCGGGUCUGAGAGGAUGAUCCGCCACACUGGGACUGAGACACGGCCCAGACUCCUACGGGAGGCAGCAGUGGGGAAUAUUGGACAAUGGGCGAAAGCCUGAUCCAGCCAUGCCGCGUGUGUGAAGAAGGCCUUUUGGUUGUAAAGCACUUUAAGCGAGGAGGAGGCUACUUGGAUUAAUACUCUAGGAUAGUGGACGUUACUCGCAGAAUAAGCACCGGCUAACUCUGUGCCAGCAGCCGCGGUAAUACAGAGGGUGCGAGCGUUAAUCGGAUUUACUGGGCGUAAAGCGUGCGUAGGCGGCUUUUUAAGUCGGAUGUGAAAUCCCUGAGCUUAACUUAGGAAUUGCAUUCGAUACUGGGAAGCUAGAGUAUGGGAGAGGAUGGUAGAAUUCCAGGUGUAGCGGUGAAAUGCGUAGAGAUCUGGAGGAAUACCGAUGGCGAAGGCAGCCAUCUGGCCUAAUACUGACGCUGAGGUACGAAAGCAUGGGGAGCAAACAGGAUUAGAUA
rnacentral:rRNA from 1 species